UUUGAUCCUGGUUCAGGAUGAACGCUAGCGGCAGGCUUAACACAUGCAAGUCGAGGGGUAACAGGGAUUGCUUGCAAUCCGCUGACGACCGGCGCACGGGUGGGUAACGCGUAUGCAACCUACCUUCUACAGGGGGAUAGUCAAUAGAAAUGUUGAAUAAUACCCCAUACGAUCUUUGAAUAGCAUUAUUUAAAGAAGAAAGUUCCGGCGGUAGAAGAUGGGCAUGCGUCCUAUUAGUUAGAUUGAGAGGUAACGGCUCCCCAAGACAUGGAUAGGUAGGGUUCCUGAGAGGGAGACCCCCCACUCUGGUAGGGAGACACGGACCAGACUCCUACGGGAGGCAGCAGUGAUGAAUAUUGGACAAUGGAGGCAAAUUUGAUCCAACCAUGCCGGGUGCAGGAAGACUGCCAUAUGGGUUGUAAACUGAUUUUAUACAGGAAGAAAAACACUUAAGUGUAGGUAUUUGACGGUACACAUGGAUAAGGAUCGGGUAAUUACAUGGCAGCAGCCGCGGUAAUA
rnacentral:rRNA from 1 species